UACGGAAGGGGCAAGCGUUGUUCGGAAUCAUUGGGCGUAAAGGGCGCGUAGGUGGUUCUGUAUGUCUACCGUGAAAGCGUACGGCUCAACCGUAUUUUGUCGGUAGAAACUGCAGGACUUGAGGCUGGGAGGGCUGGUGGAAUUCCCUGUGUAGCGGUGAAAUGCGUAGAGAUGGGGAGGAACACCUGAGGCGAAGGCGGGCUACUGGGCCGAUACUGACGCUGAUGCGCGAAAGCCAGGGAAGCGAACGGG
rnacentral:rRNA from 1 species